rnacentral:lncRNA from 1 species
GUUUUUCAGUGUCAUCGUGCAGUCCGCCAACAGAAGUGUCCUUAUGAAAAUACAAAGCAAGAGGACAAUUCCACCUUGAAAAACAGCAUUUUCACAGGCAACUCAGUCAACACAGGUGGCAGAAGUGGCACAUGUAAACUUAAGUGGACGUGUUGUGGAGAGAACUGUUAUUAUUUUUCAAAAGAAUCAAAGAACUUUGAAGACAGCAAGAAAUUUUGUGAGAGAAUGGACUCCAAACUUGUUAAGAUAGAAGAUCAACCAAGAACUGGUGAUGUGUAUUUCCUGUUUUCCAUUUUACACCAUAUGUAUGUAGGCAUUACCUGUUGACUAACUCAUUUUUAUUUAAAGCAGGGCUUUUACAAUUUUUUAAUUUAUUUUUAUUUUAUUUGAAAGGCAGAGAGACAGAUGGAGAUCUUACAUCUACUUGCUCACUCCCCAAGUACCCUCAACAGAUGGACCUGGGCCAGGCUAAAAACCAGAGCCAAAACCUCAGCCCAGGACACCCAUGUGUGUGGCAGGGGUUCAGCUGCCUCCCAGAAUGUGCAUCACCAGGGAUCUGAAUUCUGAAGUGUACAAAGGACUCAAACACAGGCACUCCUUUUUGGCAUCGAGCCUUCCAAAGGGUCAACCUAAGAGCUGCAC